CCGUAAGUAACUCAGUAAUCAGAACUCCCAGCGGAAAUGGAAAGGACUUUGUAUUAGUAAUUUGUGAAAAGACUUCAUCUUUCCAAGAAUGUGUGUUCCUGUAACGUGAGAAAGACAAUGUAAUUAUACAACAAAUCAAUCAUCAUGCAUGCACAAACGUUCCUACCUGGCAAUCUUGGAUGGCAUCAAUGGCGGAUUCAUGGAAAGGAAAUUAGCAGCCCGCUUGAUCCCCAAAUUCUACAAGCUUUUUCCUGAUCUGUCUG